UUUUCAGAAGUGACAAUCAUUCCCUUCUUGCAGCCCCUUACUCAAAUUUUGAAGCUGUUUGAUGAUCAAUGGUGACAGCUGAUAAUUUGGAGAGCAUGCAAUAGCUGAAGGAAGAGUUUGAUCAUUAAUUCACCGCUUUAUUUCAUUGACGAUUGACAGAGCAUUCAGUCCUUAAACAAGAAUUCAUGGAUUUAUGAAGCUAUCAGAAUGAAAACGCAAUUGCUGGUGUAAGUAUCAUAAGAGUAAGUAUUCUUUCUGACAUAAUAUUUUUCUUUUCAAUUUCAUAAUUCAAUUCUGGCAGGAAAAAAAAUGUUAACCUAUUUAGGAAAGUGAUGCGGUAUAGCGGUUACAUUUUCACAACGUUAUCAAACCACAAAUGAGUUUGAUUUUAUUUCAACUUUUCUGAUUAUCAUGAUUAUUGAAUUUGAUUUAAAAAAAAUCAAAUUUAAUAAAAUAUAAAAGAUCACGAUCAGUAGUUAUUCAACACUUAAUUGUUUUCCGAAACAGAUUAAUGAGAACAAAUAUAGAAGUAUAAUACAAAGUGAUUUGUACAUUUCAGUUAUUACAAAACCACAUUUGAUUGGUUAAUUUUAUAGAUCUUAAAACAUUGAUUAAAAUAAUGAAUGCAUGCAAUUUACUAUAUUCAUAUUGUAAUGUUUACCUGGCUUGCUGUUUGUGAAUAUUUGAUGUGUUUGUUUGAAAAGUGUGGAGUUUAUAUAAUUAUGUAUAUAAAGUUUGUUGUGUGCAAUAAUAAUGUUUUGCUUUGCUGGCUCUUAGUGAUACUUCUAUCAUGUGCUGUAAUGUAGAAAUAUUAUUUUUAUAUGCUAUUUAUGGAUUAAAUUGCAAAAAUGCUCAUUAUAUUUACAUUGAUUUUUUUCCAAAACUUGGCUAUUUUACUCACGUCCCUAAUAUAUCAGAUAUUGUAACAGAACAUGGGAAAAUUAAAAAUAAAAGUUUGUUCUGGUUUGACUAACAAACGAUGGUGAGUUUGAUAUCAAAAGUGGCAGUCUUAUCAAAUAAUUGUUAUCUGGGAUUCGGGCAAGAUAUCAGAAAUUAUUUUGUUCAUCCGUCAUUCUUAAACGCUUUUCUUUCAGGUCUUAGUGUUUGGGGUAUUUUAUGUUGCAUUUCUUAUUGAUAAACUAAUCAAUAAUACAAGGCUCGGCUUUACCAAUCCGUGCUUUUGCAUUGUUUAUAAUUCCCGCCUUUCUGGUAAAUUAUCCCGAUCAGAGCAAUCAUUUUAUCUAUUUAUACCACGAACAGCCAGCAGAAGUAAUGCACUGUAUAAUUUGACUGUUUUCGUGUUUUUUUCUCAGAAUUGUUUUUCGCAAAUAUUUUCUUUAAAAUCUUAUGCACCCACAAGUUUGACUAUAUUGUUUAUAUCAAUGGUUUAUAGGGAAUGAUAAUACCUCCAAAAUAAAAAGAGGAAGUCGUGAUAAUUGUUAUAGAUUCCAACUCUGAAGCCCGCUUGGUGCUAAAAUAGUAAUAUGAGCCUGUUGUAGAGUAUCAUACGCUUAGUUGCUUCACAAUGAAAUAGGGUAUUGGAUAUGAAACUGUAAAUCAUUAUAUGAUUUCAGUGUAGAUUAUGAGUGCAGUGUUACCACGAAACACCCUGUUACAUUUUCCUUCCAAUCUUCGUUCACCUGUGUGCUUGUGAUGCCUUGCUUCUCUCUGCUCCUCAUCUAUGGCACUGUAGAAUUCACUGUGUGUUGUGUUUCCAUGGUAACAGCUGGUUCUUCAGUGCCAUUGCAUGCUGGGUAGAACAUUCAUGUUUCUGAUUUUCGAGUUUGAAGUGCUGCAUUCACCGUGAUCAUCUUCAUCAGCUUUCUUCAUUUUGUUUUCACCACGCACCAUCCUGCUUCAUAUUUUCCUUCUUCAUUAGAGUUUAUAUGUAUAUAUAUAUAAUAUAUGUGUAUAUAUUUUGCAAAGUAAAAAGGCUUACAUCGAAUGACCGGGUGAUGUUGAUGAGAAUUACCGUGCAACCCAGCCUUUUAAUGAUCAUGUUCACCAUAAAAAAUACCAUCAAAUACACGAAUUGUAGGAUACACAAUAACCGGUCGCUGAAUCAGUCAAAAAUUUCCGACGGGCCUUGACCUUCUUACAUCAUAAACUUGGUCCCAAAUGGUGGAACUUAGCUUUCGCAGACAACUGGAAAGUUUUCACAAAAGGUUGGGUAAUAGUACCCAAUCACCCGGUGGUUUAGAAAUAAGCCGAUAAUUAAUUGACAUUUCAUGCUUUCGUUUGGACGAAACCAAAAUUAUAUAAUAUAGGCCUUGGCUAUAUUCAUAUACAAUUACUAUAACAAAUUAAGAAUCAAUAUAACAUGUUAUAAUUUCUUCAAUAGAAUUUAUGUCCUUUUUCAUCAUCUGGAUUAAUAAUUGAUGUUAUCUAAGGAAUUUAGAGAAUGAUUAAAACAUGUAUUGUUUAUGCGUGCAUGGUUUCAUUGGUGUUUGCGGUGUAUUUCUUCAUGCUUUUCUGUGCCGUGGUUUCAUGUAAUCAGUGUGAUUGAUUAAAAAAUGUAACUGCUUAUGCCUUUAAAUAUUGUAAUAUUUUAUGUUGAACGAGAAUAUAGGAUGAUAAUAUUAAGCGGGUGUUACAAUCAUGCUCUACUUUGGCACUAUAUAAUCUCUCUGAAUGACCUUUACUCGUAAAGCUUAUAAUGUACGUACUUGGCCUUUUGUGAAAACAUACAGGUUUGUAUAUUUACAAGGAUAAUUACAAAAUUAUGCGGGGAUAUCUAAAAAGGACAAUGCACCUAUAAUACGUAAAUAUAUAAUUUUUACAUUACAUAAUGUAAUUCGAAAUCUGUCGAAGGCAUUACAGUGGAUGAAUAAGUUUAAAAUUUUUUUUAAACGAAAUACAGGGGUAUGCAUGAUGUAAUCGUUUCAUAUUAUGUCUUUAUAAUUUUAUUUGGUAUAUCCCUGUGUGUAUAUUAGUAUUCAUCUUAUAUACAUUGUGCGUUAUUAAGUUUUGUAUUGACUUUUAUCAUGUUUAUGUGAUAUGGGAGUGGGUUGCUCUUACAUGAAAAUAGUAAGUCUAUGAAGUAAUGGGCCUCUAUACUCUUAAAACAAAUCAGUCAAAUUGACUAGACAAGUAGUCAGCUGGGUGCAAUUGAUAUGCUUGUCGCAUUUCUGACAUAAUAUCCUAGUUACAAUUAACUCUGUUCUAGUAAAAUACGACUAGAAAAUAGUCAAAUAUGACUAGAAUAACAGUUGCACCCAGCUGACCCUAUUAACUCGUCAUUUUUGACUGAUUUGUUUUUUGAGUGAACAAUCUAUAUUAUCAUGAAUAUCGCUGGUGUUUUUUGUUUUUGUUGUUUUUCAAUUUACUAUUUUUUGGUCCAUGAUACCAGUAAAUUACAUCUUGUCUUUAUACAUGUGCAUGUAUACACGGACAUGUAAAAGCAACAUUGCAUUCACGACAAUGAAUUACAUCGUAUCCUCAUUUAACAAAGUAAAAAAAAAAAUCCAUAACGUUCUUAUUUCGUAUGAGAUUGACGUCCCACUCAGAACUCCAGAUUUGAUCAGUUUAUCUCCUCGCCAGAGCCGAGUCGACAGAGGUUUUCCGCUUAUAUACCCUAUACUAGUCUGUUUGGCACUAGCACAUUUUGCUUUACCUCUGCUGAGGCUCAAUAUCGUGUGCAAGAUAUGUUUGUGUCAAGCCAGAUUGGGGGGUGCAGCCAACAUGGAUGCUUGGAGGAGAACACCGUCGGCAUGAGAAAGAGAAAAUGUUGUAUGUUAGACUAAGUCAACAUCUAAUGAAGAUUGGUAACUGCAUAAGAGUUAAAAUCGUAAAGAUAUUGUUAAGUCAUGGUUUUUCUUAUAAAUAAUUGCAAAAAGGCAAGUUGCAAAAUACGCAUCAUCAAACACAAACAUGGCAUACUAAAGUAACUUUAAUUUUGUUCGUUUUUUCUUCUAAUGUUUAACAAGAUCAAAUGACGCUUUUUGUUAACCUUCCCCUUUUUUCAAGUUAGAGGUGAACGCAUUUUUACACAACAUGAUGUAUUUUCGUAUACAUUUUUGUCGUAUGCCUCACUGCAGACUCAGUCGAUUGAUGCUGGUAUGCAAUCUCGGGUUCUGAAGAAAUGAAUGUUCAGUGGGAGGAUGAGACAGAUAGAUAGAUAGGUAGGUAGGUAGGUAGAUAGAUAGAUAGAUAGAUAGUUAUAGAUAUAGGUAGAUGUUUUUACAGGCAAAUAAUUGCACAAAUAUCGUCCAAACAUACAGAUGAUUUAUAAAUGGUUGCAUGCGAGUGCUUAUAUACCACAUCCUUUAAUGAUUAAAUCACUUCAGUUUCAAUGAGUUGUUCUUAGAAUGAGAAAUCGUAUUGCUCACCUAAUCGUUUUGAGGGAUAUGAGGCAUUUUUUUUUCAAGAAGAAAAAAAUUGGAUCAAAAGGCAAGUUUUGUUAGGGAGCAUGUCAACCGAGUGAGCUUAGUGUUUCCCUAUUAGUGCACUUGCUUAUUAAUGUUUCGACUAAUUACGAUGGAAUUAUAAAACAUUUUAUAAUCAUGAUAUCAAACAAACUGCAUGUAGAUGGCGUAGACCUAUACUAGAUAUCUAGAGGGGAAUAAUUUGUUUUACACUGGGAGCCUGGAAACCAUGUCAAUUUCUUAAAAAGUUAAAGGUAUAUCAUACUAAUUCAAAAUAGGCUUAAAACGUAUACAGAAAUACCUUUUUUACAGAUUCAUGUAGUAUAUAUGGUUUUAAGCAUGGUAAGAAAGACGGAGAGACAAUAUCCCUUUAACACAAAACUUAUCGUUAAUUAUAGGUCUAGUUGUAUGAUUAACUAUAUUUUCCAUUGUGUGUAAUCAAUCAUACAAUUCACUUUUACGAUCAAUCGCUAAGCUUUGUGUUUUGGGGCCCAAGGUAUACAAAUGGGAAGCCAUUCAUUCUGUGUAUGGCUUUUCUCAUUACUUGGCACGAGCGCCACGCUAUUUUCGUUAAUUAGGACAUUACGUAACCAAAGUACAUUUCGCAAGAUGAUCGCAGUAUGAAUGUUGCUACAAAACUGAAUUAACAUAGGCCUAUGCUGUUGCGUGAUGUUAGUCUUGAGUUAAGACAUCGACUUGAACAGCUUGGAAAAGAAUAUGUUUUAUGGCUUCCCCAAUCUCGAGGAUUAUUCAAAACUUUGUUUGACAAGCACAUCGCAGAAAUAUCCCUGAAAGAUAUGAAAAAUAAUUUCUCGAAGAUAAGUAGUCGAUAUUUAGAGCUUGAUAUGAGAAAUUUGUAUAAAAAAAGUAUUUAUCAAAGGAGAUAAAGACGUUUAUAACUUUCUUCUUCGGAUUCGGACUUUAUUCGUUGUAACCUGCAGGGGAGGAUCCAUGAUUUUCUUUUACAAAAAGAGAGAGAGAGAGAGAGAGAGGGUCUUGACUUCCGUAUACAUGGGAGACAUUGGAUCCGCCAAUAACACACGUCUCGUGACAACGGAAUAUUGGGUGUGUAUGUGUUUAUUUUUAUAAUGCUUAUAGCAUUUCCAUUAAAGCCCCCAUCACACUUAUUCCGAAUCAAGCAGAGUUGGCCUGAAUGAAAGGACUAUUGUUUGACCACCAGUUGGUCAUUUAAAUCUACUUCGAACACCGUUCGAAAAUAUCCCUCGAAUGUUUUUAACAUGACCAAAACCUUCGGGACGGCCAAAAGAAAUGACAAAAAUAUUUUGAAUGCACUCAGAAUGCAGUCAGGAUAUUUAGAAUGCGCCUAGAAUGUCCAAGAAUGUUGCACGAAUUAUCAACCUGACUCCAUUGCGGUUCAUUUUGACUUGUGUACGAUGAUACACCUGGUCAAUUUACUGAAUUUCAUCUCCAGUUUGGUGCAUUCAUAAGUUCCUCCCAAAAAUUUCUAGAUUUUUUGAAUAUUUUUUUCUUUCCAGCUUCUGCUUGAUUCCUGCUGAUUCCGAAUAAGUGUGAUGGGGUUUUUAUUUGAAUGGAGGUUAAAGGAGUACUGUCAAUUUAAUGCCUUGCUCAUGGGCAUAGGUGCCGUGGCCGGGGAUCGAACCCCGGACUUUCAAGUCAGGCGCCUGAGACCACACGGCCACGUCAUCUCCACUAUCCGAUUAUUCAUCUGAUAAAACCAAUAUCCGAUUAUUAUUAUUCGUCCUGAAUGAUUUUAAAAGAUCGAUAAAACAAUGAGGGUGUUGCUGACAUAUCCAAGCAUAGAAAUAAAAAUCAACGCUAUUUUUUGAAUUUGUAGUAAUGACCAUAUUAAAAGUUCUUGUUCAGUGAUAUUCAUCAACAUAUACUUUUAAGGCGUAUUAUAAGAAGUAUGUGAAUAUCGUAUCAACCGCAGUACAGCAUCACGCAGCAAAAACUAAAAUGUUGCAUUACUUGAUUUAAAAAAAAAAUAUUUAGCCGUGAAAAAAAUAUAAGAAUUUUCUGUAGGGCGUGUUGAAAAUAAAUAUACAGUAAACAUCUAGAGCAACUGUUUUAGUGUGACGAUUAUUGGUCCAUUUGUGCGUUUUCUCGAGUAACUAAAAAAAAAAGAAAAUUAUUACUACUGUGAAUUAUUCCCUUUUCACACCUCCAAUAGUCUCUCGUUCUAUAUUAAGAAAUAAUUUAGCAUUUUGGAAUGAAAGAAACACAAACAUAAAAAAAAAUCAUUAUUUUACAUAUGUUAACUGUUCAAGAUAAUGUGAAUAAUGUUUUAGGAGAACAUUAACACUUACAAAAUACACUUUGGGUUAAUUUCCGUUUAUGUAAAACCACUUUAUUGUUAUGCUUUCAGAAUACAGAGAAACACAUUUUUUUUCAUUGAUUUACUCUGACACUUACUGACAAUAAGGUGGUGAUUAAAGAUGUAUUAAAUUCAAUAAAAACCAAUUGGCAUUUGCUUUAGGGAAAUACGUGAGGAGUGUUUUAAAAAUACACAUGAUUAGACAGGCAAGGACAAAAAAUCAUGCGUUUUCAAAUAAAAAGAAGUAUAUGAAAGCAAUUCAAUGUAUGCCGCUUUUACUCCGACAUGGAAAAGAAGUAGGAGCCGCAGCACGUAGCGCACUUCUACAAAAAUAUAAGAAUGUGGGUGAAUUACUAAAGAGAAACAUUGAUUAUUUUUAAGGGAAAGAUUAUUUUGUUUUGUUUCCUGCAUUUAUACAACCAUUUCAAAGUGUAUUUGUUUUACUGUUAUAAGUUUGACGUAAUCACUCAUAUAUUUACUCUGUAAUCGCUUCGAUGUUGACCUCUACAUAAUUGGAAGAGUAAAAUUACUAUUAUGUACUUUAAAUUGUAUUUAUGAGGGUAUGUUGUGUUGUACGACAAUACAGGAGGAAUGUAAUCUAAUGGAAGAGAAAGACGUCUCCUGGGUGAAUACCAGGCUAUUUUUUUUAAUUCAAACCAAUGUGCAAACUUUUGUCUUGGGGUAUAUUUAGCCUAUCCCACCCCAAAACACUAUAACAAGAUAUCAUAUUACCAUAUUAAGAUCUUAUUAC